CAGAGUUGCAAGACUCCCAGACCACUGUGAACUUUACCAGCCGUUGCUUCGGCGGGCGCGGCCCUAUAGCUGCGCGAGCCCCUCCACGGGCGCCCGCCGGAGGCACCCAAACCAAUGACGUUUUGCAUGGCCUCUCUGAGCAACUGUACUGAAGUCA
rnacentral:misc_RNA from 1 species